GACAGAGGGGGCAAGCGUUGCUCGGAAUCACUGGGCGUAAAGGGCGCGUAGGCGGGAUGGCAAGUCGGUCGUGAAAUCCUUCGGCUCAACCGAAGAACGUCGGCCGAUACUGCCGUUCUUGAGGGAUGCAGAGGAGAUUGGAAUUCCCGGUGUAGCGGUGAAAUGCGUAGAGAUCGGUAGGAACACCAGUGGCGAAGGCGGUCUCCUGGAGCCCUCUUGACGCUGAGGCGCGAAAGCUGGGGGAGCAAACGGG
rnacentral:rRNA from 1 species